rnacentral:lncRNA from 1 species
AUGAAAAGCAGUACACCCUAGUGACAAGUGACAACUUGUUUUUAGGCUAAUAGUUGAAUAUCAAAAGUCAAGAAUAAAGUGAAAACCAAUCUAUUAUAGUUUUUGACAUUUUGUAUACGGCUGGAUUUUUAAUCAUUUAAAGUUUCGUACUUAUACAUCAUCUCUGUAAGUCUUUGAUCGGUUUUGUACAAGUAAAGUGUAUCGUAUACAGUAUGUAGUGUUUCAGUAAACUACAAUCAUUUGUUUCAAAUGCACACUUGUCUUGUCUAUGGAUUCGUAUUUUUUAUAAUGUUUAGUUUAAUUAUAUAAUUGACAAAGCAAGCAUCUGAACGCAAAAAAAAUUUAUCAUAAACGUUCAAAUAUUUGGUAUAAAUUAUGAUUUUACAGAGUUCUGUGUGACUACAAAGUUUUUUUUUUUUUUUACUUCUACAAAGUAAUCAAAACUUUAAACCGUUGACGAUUAGUCCACCAUAUGUUUUUAGUUUGAGCGGUUCACACAUUUCCUUGAUUUUAUAUUUAUGCAAUGAUUUACAAAGAAAGUGACUGGCAUAUUUUCAAUCCUUCUUGUAGAAGAACAAGAAAACACUACUAAAAAUACAAU